AUUCAUGGAAAUUAAUUUCCUUUUUAAAAGCACACAUUAAAGGUACAGAGGGCCCCAGCUGGUGCGUCAAAGCUACUCUGUGUUGUCGCUAACUUUGUGCUGCAGUGUUUACAUCAAAACAAUAUCAGCCGAAAAUAAGUGAGAAUAAAUACACUUUUAAUCAGUGUGUAUGACUGGUAUCUGUAAAGUUGUCUUAAUUUCAGACUUCCGUAUUGUGUUACCUCUCAUAAGGAAACCUGUGUCAUGGUUUCCCAUAGCAACGGAAUGAUGCUUUGCGCCAUGUUGACAGACCUGAGUGUUUGUCAGGUUUCUGCUCUGUGCAGGAGAGUUAUUUAAUAAUGAGGAGUAAUAUAUCUGGUUGUGUUGUGAAUGAAUCACGCGGACACGGCUGAGCUUUUGUUGAGCUUUGGAAACUCAUACAGAUUCGAAGUGUAUUGCUGGUUAAACAACUUUAGUGGACAUGCCUCCAGCUUCAGCAGCACAUGGGAUUUCCACUUAUGCAGACACAGGUCUGGGCUUCAGUUUUCUGCUGGGAACUGACUACGAAAAGAAGAAACAUAAACUACAGCAGGAGCUUCAGCUGGACUACAAACAACACGUUGCCAAGAAAAAAGAGCUGAAAACUAGUGGAACUCAUCCCCAACCCCAGGGUCUUUCCUUACCUAUUGAUGACAACACAUCAGUUCAGGAAAAACUACGAGAGGAGAGGAAGAAAGAAUACAACCUCUUCCUUCAGAAACAAGCUCAAAAUAAAAGGUUAAGGAGGAGUAAACCUGUCGCUGCAGAGGCUCCAGAUGCUGCGUGCAUUUCCCCUCCAGCGUCUCCUCUUCUAAUCCCCAACAUCCUCUCAAACUAUCCCUCUCCUCCCUGGGAGCGCCCUGCAUCCAGGAGAGACGCUGCCACUCUGACUGAGGCAAGGGAUGAUGGAAAAAGAACAGGAGCAUGGAAUCCGGUUCAUCGGGCACGAAGGCGUUGGCAAAUUGUAAGGCAAAAGGAGCCGUACAGCUCUGAGGAGGAGCUGAACUCUGACAGAGAGGAGGUCGUGGAGUUCAGACACAGGAGGAGGCAGGACAGAUACACUCCAGAGCCAGAGUUCAAAGUGGAGAGGAGGACCAGAGAGCGCAGAGCCCACAGAGCUCCUCAGGACACAAAGGAGGUGGAGGCCCCUGGUGGUUAUGAUCAGAACAACAAUGACUUGUUUGGAAAGUCAGAUCUGCAAAUGCCAGACAGAAUGAGGGCAGCUGCAAGAUCAAGACCUGCAACCAGCCGAGAUAAUGCAGAGUUUGCUACUGGACUGAUGAUUGGAGUAACAGAGGAGCGGACGGCCUCUCAGCUGAGGAAAGAACAAUACAAGCAAGAGCUGCUGAAACAAAUUGCUGAACAGCAGAAGAACAAGAAGAGGGAGAAGAAACAGGAGUUGAGGGUUGCUGCUACUGGAGCUACAGACCCUGAGAAAGAGUCGCACAGAAUAAAGCACUAUGGGGUUGUUCAUCCGCUUUAUGACAACUGGAGACCAGACAUCUCCAAAAAACCUGGAAUAGAUCUGGACCCAAAUCCACAGGCGAGGGAUAACAAACCUGAGCAGAACAUCCCUCUAGGAGAAUCUCAUGUGGACUACAGUGCAGCUCUGAGUCAGCUGACAGGACCGCCUGUGCCUGGGCCAGGUGUGAGAGCAGCACAAGGUAUCCCCCAGCUGGACUUCUUUAAUGAGGACUACCAUCGGGACUUCUCAAACAUGCUGGGGGAGGUGAACAUGCCGAGGGUGGCUGCUGUUCCUCCUCCUGUUCCUCCCUCUGUUACUCGUCAUUACAAGACCCCUUAUGAUGCAGCUUAUUUCUACUACGGAGCCAGGAAUCCUUUAGACCCCAGUCUCCCGUACUAUCAAAACGGUGCGUCUGAAGGACAGCAGCAUUCUGGGAAAUAUCACUGUCCUCCUGUCAGACCCAGCGGCCUCACUGAAGCCCUUGAUUGGCACAGAGCAACUCCCCAGAAUGUAGCCAAGGUUCCGUCAGAGAAGUCCCAGCAGAGGAGAGAGAGGGCACUGAGCCACCAAGAAGCACUCAGACAGCAGAUCAAAGAAAGAGAGGAGUGUAGAAGAAGAGAGAAAGAAGAGAAGGAGCGGUAUGAUGCCAAGGUGGAGGCCGAGUUGUUGGCAUACAACCCUUGGGGGAGAAGUGGGGGAGGUGCUCCAAUUAAAGACCAAAACGGCAAGCUUGUCAGUAACCUCACUCAAAUGCACAGGACCAACACGGAGUCCUACAAGACUCCUCUGUCCAGGAAUAGUGGAUACACACAAAGCUUCCUGAUGAGGUCUGUACUCUCUCCAGGAAGGGGAGUCGCCUGCGUGACCCCUCCCCACCAGCUGUCAGGUUUCGCUGAGAAUGAGUACAAAGAAGACCUACAAAAACAGAUAAGGGAAAAAAAGCAACAACAGGAAGCAGAGAGAGAACGAUUAAGGCUUGAGGAGGAGAAAGAAGAGAAGAGACUGGAAGACCAACGGGCCCGCAUGAAGAGGGAUUAUGAGGAGGAGCAGAUGAAGCAUAAGAAGAAGUUGGUGCAAACAGAGGAACAGAGCUGGGUCCAUGAACCAUCAGCAGCACAAUGCAGGAAGGAGGAAAGGAAGGCAAUACAGGAACAGGAGACCAGGAAGAAGGAACCUGAGAGCAACAGGGACAGAGAGGAGAGACAGGCGGUGUUGAAUUAUGAGAGAGAGCCGUCUCCUCCCAUCCCAACGUUACAGAAGAGGCAGACAAAUCCUGUAGAGUCCAGACCUCCCUCUGUCGUGAGCCAACUCUCCUCCAGGACUGAGCGCUAUGCAUCAGCACCAAGCUGUCGAGAAGUCCCUGCAAAACCACCACUGCUACCAGGCAGUGAGCAGGAAGUGAUCAGAGAGCUGUCAGCCCUCCGCAGGUAUCUGAGGAACGAGCAGGGACAACUUGGGGUUCAGCUGAGCUACACAGACUCACAGAGCAGUCACUACCCUCCCCACAGCAGGCCGAAACAACGACCGAGAGUGGAUGCAUUUGAGUCAACGCGGAGGAAAGCUGCUCAGCCAGCAACCAGGAGUUCUCCUUUUGAUGCCGCAUAUUUUAAUAUGCAAAAUAUCCGAGAGUUCAACCAGCUGAAACACAGAGACACAGCAUCCCGAGAGGAGCUCCGUCACAUGUACCCUGACCCUCCCACUGACGCACAAAGUCUGGACAUCCAACAGCAAGCACUUCUUCGGGAACAACGACGCAAAAUCACAAUCAUGAAGAGAGAGGAAGAGCGCGGCUUCUUGGACCAGGAACUGAACUACAAACCUAGGAACAAACCUGGACACCUCUUCCACAGAGACGACGCAUUGCCAUCUCAGAGUGCUUUCAUUGAUGUUUACAGUGGGGAUGCAAGUGAAGAGCAGGUUCAUCAGCAGAGACGUCAGCCUUCAGCUGAGAGCAGAGAGAGGACAGCCGCACGGAGGAGACGUGACUUUGAUGUACCCAAAUCUAUGGAUUUAUGGAGCUGAUCAGAGGCAGCUGACUCUGUGGAUCAGAGAGGCCAUCAGGCUUCACAGGGGACUGAUAGAAAACUCAGAUCUAAAGGCAGACUACAUGACCAGCAUCAGACUCCACAUGGUCACACUGAGGAGCCGUCUGGAGAUGAAGCAGAUGUCUUAUCUCUGCGCUCCGCCCUUGGGAGGCGUGUAUCCGUGGACACUGUUGCCACGGAGCCCUGGCUGCGACCUGGCACAUCAGAUGCUGUGAAACACUCGGUCUGCAGGGAGAGCAGGAUGGAUACUCUACCCAGGCUGACAAACCGUGCCACAUAGCUGCCACUGGCUGCUUUUUUAAAGAAGGGAAACUGCAGAGAGGAGCUCUGAUGGAUCUCCUCGUCUUUGGACGCAGAUUGGGAUUAGACCGGAUGAUGCAGCUUUAAUCGCUCAUUAGAGACCACAGUCUGUCAGAGAACAUGUUCAUGUUUAAUAUCUCUCAGCAUGAAGAAGUGCACUUAGAUUUAAUCAGAGUAAUGAGCAGAACACCUGUGAAUGCACCCUGAACAUAUGUGAGAAUACGUUAAAGGUAUAACAGAUAAUUUUGUAAUAAAAUGUUCUUAUUUAA